rnacentral:rRNA from 1 species
UCAGGAUGAACGUUGGCGGUGUGCCUAAUACAUGCAAGUCGAACGGUGGUUAUUUUGUAGUAAUACGAAGUGAUCAUAGUGGCGAACGGGUGAGUAACGCGUUGGUGAUCUGCCUCGAAGUGUGGAAUAACGUUCCGAAAGGAACGCUAAUACCGCAUGUGCUCUCGAUUUUUAGAAAGUUGAGAGUAAAGGAUUUAUUCGCUUCGAGAGGAGCCUGCGUCCCAUCAGCUAGUUGGUAGGGUAAUAGCCUACCAAGGCUUUGACGGGUAGGGGACCUGAGAGGGUGGCCCCCCACAAUGGAACUGAAACACGGUCCAUACACCUACGGGUGGCAGCAGUAGGGAAUAUUAGAAAUGGACGAAAGUCUGAUCUAGCGACACCGCGUGUGCGAUGAAGGCCUUCGGGUUGUAAAGCACUUUUUGGAAGGAAUAGGAAGGAAGGUACCCUUCGAAUAAGUCUCGGCUAACUACGUGCCAGCAGCCGCGGUAACACGUAGGAGGCAAACGUUAUCCGGAUUUACUGGGCGUAAAGCGCGUGUAGGUGGUUCUGUAAGUAGGGCGUGAAAGCUCCCGGCUCAACUGGGAGAGGCCGUUCUAAACUGCAGGAGCUAGGAGGGAUGGUAGAGGGAGAUGGAAAUUCCAGGUGUUAGCGGUGGAAUGCGCAGAUAUCUGGGAGGAACACCAGUUGGCGAAAGCGGCCUCCUGGACCAUUCCUGACACUCAGACGCGAAAGCUAGGGUAAGCAAACGGGAUUAGAGACCCCGGUUAGUCCUAGCCCUUAACG